rnacentral:rRNA from 1 species
GAUUGAACGCUGGCGGCAGGCCUAACACAUGCAAGUCGAGCGGUAGAGAGAAGCUUGCUUUUCUUGAGAGCGGCGGACGGGUGAGUAAUGCCUAGGAAUCUGCCUGGUAGUGGGGGAUAACGUUCGGAAACGGACGCUAAUACCGCAUACGUCCUACGGGAGAAAGCAGGGGACCUUCGGGCCUUGCGCUAUCAGAUGAGCCUAGGUCGGAUUAGCUAGUUGGUGAGGUAAUGGCUCACCAAGGCGACGAUCCGUAACUGGUCUGAGAGGAUGAUCAGUCACACUGGAACUGAGACACGGUCCAGACUCCUACGGGAGGCAGCAGUGGGGAAUAUUGGACAAUGGGCGAAAGCCUGAUCCAGCCAUGCCGCGUGUGUGAAGAAGGUCUUCGGAUUGUAAAGCACUUUAAGUUGGGAGGAAGGGCAGUUACCUAAUACGUGAUUGUUUUGACGUUACCGACAGAAUAAGCACCG